CAAACCUCCACCCGUAAAACAUUAGCUUACAGUCCAGGUUAUUGAGGACCUGAUGGCUUCUAUCCAUCUUCCAAGAAUACAGGUUAUUACAUGGUAUGCUGCUCUCACUUGGCUCCAGCUGACCACCAGCUGCUUCUUUAUACACACUCUCUUGCUAGGAUCCGUGGAGCCGCUAAACUGUUCCGAACCAACAACAAAAUCGCUCCUUAAUGCUAUGCGAGAGGAAGUCAUCCUCUACAGCGAUGCAAGGCCAGUGAUAAGUCUGAG